GGACGGGACACCCGGAAAGAAAACUCAUCAGCAGAAAACUAGAACAGGAAGGCUGAGAGGAGCAGGCCAGGGAAGCGGCAGGGAGGCCGCGGCGCCUGCCUGGGCCACAAAGCCACCGCCUUUUAUGGCCCACUCUGGGAACAGCAGGCCAGCGCUGGGAAAGCAAUGACUCAGGACUGAAUGGUGGCUCCCUCCCAGCAGAAACGAGGCCCCACUUCUCCCCUCGUCAAACCGCCCGUCCUCAGGCCAUCACAGAUUGGAUGACUGCAGAUUCACACAGCUGGGGAGGCAGCGGUGCCAGAAGCGAGGUGAAUGAAAUUUCCUGUUUAUUAUGAAAAAUGCUCACACUUUUGGUGAGGGAGACACGGUGGCUGGCCAAGUACAUCCACAGGUCAUGAAAAGGGUCACUCAGGCUCGUGUGAGGUCAUCGCAGGUGUAUGACCGUGCGCGACCACGUGGCUGCAGCCACCGCCGGGCCUGCCCGGCACCCACUUGUCCACCAAACCCUCACUCAGCCUGAGAGAUGCUGUCGCAAAAGGCACCAAGGGCUACACCCAGAGCAGCAGCACCAAAGCAUCACUCAAGUCUAUGCACCCAGCAAGGUGGCCAGGGCCACCACUUGGCCUAGAGCUAGGCCCUAGGCGACAAGCACAGGGACGAGCGUGCCCACGCCCCCACCCUCGCCCAAGGCAGUGAGCCUUCGGGCUUUGGGACACAUUAGAGAUCAGUCUCAGUGACAGGAUAAGUGACGAGAUCAGUGACAAGAUGGCUGUCAGCCAUCAGACAGCCCAAUGCACAGUAUUUCCUCAAGGAAAGUGGGAGUUCAAGGCGUGCUUGGUGCCAGAGACAAGUACACCCCCACCCAAGGAGACAAGGACACUUCAUCUGCCUCAGGUGGGGCUAGGACUGAGCGUGCGGACACCAGUGUCCCUAUGAAGGACAGACAACGUGGUCCAAGGUGGUGAGCUGGAAAGGAAAGGCUGACCCCACAGCGUGAGGAAAAGCCAGUGCCGUCUCUGAUAGGGGACAAGCUCCAGUGCAGAAAGUUCUGGAACUCUGGAGACAUUAUAGAACAAGCCAGGCACAAAAGGACCAAUACUGUAUGUCUCUACUCUUAAGAAGUACCUGUAGUUGGGGCGCCUGGGUGGCCCAGUCGGUUAAGCGUCCGACUUCAGCCAGGUCACGAUCUCGCGGUCCGUGAGUUCAAGCCCCGCGUCAGGCUCUGGGCUGAUGGCUCGGAGCCUGGAGCCUGUUUCCGAUUCUGUGUCUCCCUCUCUCUCUGCCCCUCCCCCGUUCAUGCUCUGUCUCUCUCUGUCCCAAAAAUAAAUAAAUAAACGUUGAAAAAAAAAAGAA